CUUUGGGUAGAAUUAUGUGGAAAGAAUGACAUAAAAACCAAUAGAAUGAAAGUGUACCAGAAAGCACUCUAGAAUCUCUGUGGGUGGAAAUUCCAUUCUUAGAUAAUGAAGCUGUGGCAGUAGGAAUGUAUGUGAGGCAACCUGCCAGGGUAAUGAGAUGAAGAAACAAAUAAAAUGUAAAGGCUACAGAAUGAAGAAGCAAGCUGGCACCUCACAGCAUUGGCCCCCUGUAUUGUAACUGGUCAUGUGAUUGUCAGACUCCCCAGAGAGAGUGGCAGUUCCCUGAAAGCUGAGACGAGAUUUUGUUUAUCUUUGUGCUGACCCAGUACUGUCUGUGCCUGUAAACCCCCGUCACCUGAUGGAAUGGAUGUCUGCCCUAUAUCUCAGGGCUUUGUUAUAAACUCAAAUGAAAGGAUAUUUAUGAAAGAACAGUAUGAACUAAACUACAAACACAAGAACGCUGAAUCUCCCGGACUGGCCCUCUGGACUCGAAUAUCAGCACUUGGGGAUGAAUGAAGAAGGUGCAUCAUUUCCAGGGAAGCAGA
rnacentral:lncRNA from 1 species